UGGAAUUAAUUUUUUACAUGAAAAGCCAACCAACAACCAACAACAAAAACCCAAACCCACCUCUGCCCCCAGAGUCCUAAACAUCCAAAUUCCCCUGCCAGGCACCAGAAAUGGAGCCCUGUGGGCGGGUGUGAGUGGCAGGGGAGGCUCUUCCCACCCUCAGGGGACUUUCUUCUUACUAAGUAUCCCCGGGAAAUCCAUGGGAAGCCCUCUAACAAGCCAGGACCUUCAUUAGGGUAAGUACUUGAUGACAGGUUAGGAGGGAACCCUUCCCUGCACCCCGGCAUCUGGUCCCUGGGGCCACCGCGGUGGGAGGAGGGCGCCUGGACGGGACAUGAGGAGAACAGUGGGCUUGGCUUGUGGAGUCUUCUGGCUCCUCCUUCCCUCCCCCUGGAGGGUGACUUGGAUUUCCCUGGGGAGCAGCCCAGUGACUCUGCACCGCGAGGCUGCACUUCCUGGCUCUUCUAAAAUCACGGUUUCUCACCAACUCCACACCAAAUCAUCCUUAAACUAGCAAAGCAUGUCUGUGCUGUCACAUGGCAGCUGUCACCCUGGGCUGCUUGUUCUCGCUGCACCUCUGCGCCCCUCUGCUCCUCAGGGCCCCAGGCUCCCAGGGAGGCUCCCAGGGAGGCUGUGGCAUGGCCGGGCUGGGCGGGAGCUGGGGCCAAAGCCGGACAGCCCUUCUCCGGGUCAGGUCUCCUCCUGCAGCUCCUUGAACUUCCUGUCUUCCACUAGCCUCAGCCAGUGGUGUCCCCUCCAGCCCGGUAGGUGCUGAGACACAGGAAGUGUCCAGCUCCGUCCUCCCCGCCAGCCAGCACCCUUGGCAGCUGCAGUAAUUCAUGUUCCUCCCCUCUGCCUGCUACAGAGGCCCCUGAUGAGAAACGGGCAUCUGCGCGUCUGGGGGGUGACGAUCUUGUCCCCCGCACAGCUUAUCCCUCGCUCCCCCACCCCGCUCUGUCAAGGAGCUUGGCCUGAGACACAAGAGGGACUAGAAGUGGCAAUGAUCAGUGCCACAGUAUGGCCAAGCAGGGUCAGAAAUUCAGCCAAGAGACUGGGGUGCCGGAGCCCGCUGGCCCAGCACCCUGCCUGCCCCCAGAACCUGCCCCAAGCCACACUCCUUGGCAACCGCAACACGCUUGCAGCUUCAGGUCCCGCUGAGACGCCAGACCUCUGCUGUGUGUCUCUGCUCUCGAACCCAGGCCUCUGGAUGCCCACUUCCCACACCAGUUAUUUCAAGGUGAAGGGAAGGAAAUGAGCUCCACUGCCUGCACCUGCGUGCUGCCUCUCUUCGGAAUCAUGGGACCUGGUAAGUGAAUUUUCCACUAAACAACCAGGACAUAGGGGCCUUGAGACAAAGAGUCUGAAGGAGACUCUUUCUUGUGUCCUCAGCCACUCUGCCCGCCUAUCCCCAUCUUUUUCUGGAAGCAAAGAUGAUGGAGCGCUUUUUUUUUUUUCUGGUACCGGGGAUCGAACUCAGGUCCUUGCGCUUACGAGGCUGGCGGCGGCACCACUGAGCUAAAUCCCCGGCCCUGGAGCUCUUUUUCUGCUCAUCUGGGUGCAAGUCAGCACCGCUCUAUGCCCUUUAGGCCCGGCCUCUGCCCCUCCUGCGGCCUCCUCGCGGCCACACCCCCACCCUCUCCCCAGCCUUGGCCCCAAACUAGAACCGGGCCGCAGCUGCGCUUUCUUUCCUAUCAAUCGAUGGCUGUCAGGGCUGCUUGAAACGCAGCCUGGAUUCCACUCCGGGGGCCCCAGGCCUGGGGCUGUGGGAGCUGAGCGGGACACUGGCCUGCAGAAAAACUUCUCUCCCCACCCUUCAGAGUCUCAAGUUUUCCCUCGUUACUGUAAGCACCACCAAGGACCUACAAAGCUCCUCGCUCCAGGGGCUCCGGGAGUCUGCGCACCUGCUCUCCAGCUCCCUGCCUCUGUGGGCUGCUUCUUGUGUGACCUCAGCUACGCUGCGGAGACGCA